rnacentral:tRNA from 1 species
GGGCGAGUAGCUCAGUUGGUUAGAGCAUCCGGCUGAUAACCGGAAGGUCACAGGUUCGAGUCCUGUCUCGCCCA